GCAUUGGGAAAUUAAAGCAUUGGGAAAUUGCUAUUGCCUUUGACUAUGUUAACUCAAAUAAAUAAAUAAAUAAAUUGUCCAAAGGCGGACAGCCUACAACCAUUUUUUCAAAACAUAGUGAAUGUAGUAUCUGUCCCAGGGAACAAGUAGUAAAGUGAAAAAAAUUUGUGAAAAAAAAAUGGCCCCAGCAUAAAAUACUGAGAAAUUACAGGUUUAACAAAGACAACUGGAUGGACAUUAAAGAAGUUGAUAUAAUUUUAAAACUAGAAUCUAUAUAAAUGGGGAAAAAUCACCCAAAUAAACUAAGUUUUGCAAAAUAGUCCAUUAACUUAGCUAUUAACCACUAUGCUGUCUCCUUUUAGAUCUUUCCUGAAGGCCUAACAAUGAGAGACAUGGUGGGCAGGCAAAUGUUGAGACUCCAUCCAUCCUACAUGCCAAUUUGUUGAAUGGGGAAUAAAGAUACCGUCUGACCCACAGUACUCCUGAAGCUAAGAGCUGCAUUCCUCAGUAAACAGUAUCAAAAUAUUUUCAAGUGAUAUGGUAACAGAUCAGAUCUUGGUCAAGGAAAGGCAUUCCAUUCUUUCCAUCUAUUCCACUGAGAGUCCAACAAUUCUGUACCUCCCAGGACCCAACUUGUGGCAAUUCAACUUACCAUUCCAUCACCACCAGUGUACUUGCCAGCUUCCUGAUUCUGCCACCAGGUUGCAGAUACCACCAUGAUGCCAACAUGACUUGCAUGGACAGAUGACCUUACCAAUGUGUCCUGGAACCCCACCUUUCCAGAGCCCUGCCCCACUAGGGAAAGAUCAAAACAGGGAACCAUUUUAUAUUUCUAUUAUCCUGGGUUUUGUGGACAGAGACUGAAGCCAGCUAUCCUUUGUAUAGCCCCAGAGCUUCCAAUUUCAAGCCAUUUACCAGUGUCCUGCAGAAAAACAAAAUAGCUGAUGGACAUCUUUCUGAGGAAAUAGAGAUUUUAAUCAGAAGUCUGCUUCACUCAUGGAUUUCUAUCUUUCUUCCUUAGCCACCAGGUUCCAGAUGCUACCAUGAUGCCAACCAGACUUCCCUGGGCAGAUGACCCCACCAAUGUGUCCUGAAACCCUACUUCCCCAGAGCUCUGCCCCACUAGAGAAAGAUAGACACAAGCUGGGAGUAUGGAUCCACCUGUCAACACCCAUGUUCAGCGGGGAAGCAAUUACAGAAGCCAGACCUUCUACCUUCUGCACCUCAUAAUGACCCUAGGUCCAGAGGGAUAAAGAAUAGGAAAUCUCUCAGGGGAGGGGGUGAAUGAAGUUCUGGUGGUGGGAAUUGUGUGGAGUUGUAACCCUCUUAUCCUAUGGUUUUUGUGUUUCCUUUUUGUAAAUAAUAUUUAAAAAAAAGAAUUAUAAUUAUAAGAAGCCUAAAAAGACAAUUUCAUUCCCUGUGCUAAAUGGGGACAACUUGGUAAUGAAUGACCAGAUGUAAAAGUUAGGACAAAGGAAUAGUUCUUUAUGUAAUGGGGGAAAAUGUAAGUUUUAACAUGGCACUAGUUUACUUGAACAUUCCAGAAAGUAGCAAAUAAAACAGUCACCAAACUUA